AGUGAACGCUGGCGGCGUGCUUAACACAUGCAAGUCGAACGAGAACGGGUUAUAGCUUGCUAUAAUUGUCAGCUAAGUGGCGCACGGGUGAGUAAUGUAUAGGUAAUAUGCCUCUUACUAAGGGAUAACAAAUGGAAACGUUUGCUAAUACCUUAUACUCCUUAUUAACAGAAGUUAAUAAGGGAAAGAUCUAUUGGUAAGAGAUUAGCCUGUAUUGUAUCAGUUAGUUGGUGGGGUAAUGGCCUACCAAGACUAUGACACAUAACUGGUUUGAGAGGAUGAUCAGUCACACUGGAACUGAGACACGGUCCAGACUCCUACGGGAGGCAGCAGUGGGGAAUAUUGCACAAUGGACGAAAGUCUGAUGCAGCAACGCCGCGUGGAGGAUGACACAUUUCGGUGCGUAAACUCCUUUUAUAUGAGAAGAUAAUGACGGUAUUAUAUGAAUAAGCACCGGCUAACUCCGUGCCAGCAGCCGCAGUAA
rnacentral:rRNA from 1 species